rnacentral:rRNA from 1 species
GACGAACGCUGGCGGCGUGCUUAAUACAUGCAAGUCGAACGGAAAGGCCAGGCGUUUGCGGGGUGCUCGAGUGGCGAACGGGUGAGUAACACGUGAGGAAAAUGCCCUUGAAUUUGGGGUAAAUCUAGGGAACUGGGGCUCAUACAGGAUAGGAUCUCUUGCUGCAUGGUGGGGGAUGGUAAGAGUCGGCGGUUGUGGCUGGACUCGCGGGUUAUCAGCUAGUUUGUGGGGUAGUUGCUUACCAAGGCUUUGAAGGGUAGCCGGCCUGAGAGGGUGACCGGCGUCAUUGGGCCUGCGAUACGGCCCAGACUCCUACGGUAGGCAGCAGUCGAGAAUAUUACACAAUGGGCCGGAGCCUGAUGCAGAAACGCCGCGUGCGUGAUGACGGCCUUCGAGUUAAAAACCGCUUUCGCCUGUGACGAAGCGUGAUUGACGGUAAUGAGUAAGAAAGCCCCGGCUAACUACGUG